CUGAGAGGACCCCCAUCCACCCCAGAGCCCACCAUUAUUCAAACCAGGCAGCCCUAGACCUUUUACCCUGGCCUGCCUUGCUUUUCCCUCAGAAACCCCAGCAAGGACUGGCCCCACGCUUUCCCCUGCACCCUGUCUUUUGCCUCUGACUAUCAUGGUCUUUCCCAUGUGGCUUUGUGAGCUGUGCCACGCCUGGCUGUAGAUCUGUGACUACACUCAACUUUGUUUUCCAGAGCCUCUUCUAGCCCCUCCUAUGGACAUCUCAUAAUACAAGAGGGAAGUAUCCAAAUUAAAUGAAGUUAUAUGCACUAAGUACACAGUAUCUAUCACAUGCUCUUACAUGUUGUUACCCCCAGGGAUGAGAACACAACUGUUUAUAUUCUACAGCCCAAACCCUAGUUUCUGGGACCAGACAAGUGUGCAUGAUUACUGUAGAGGGACUGGUGAUCACACUAGUCAUAAGGAGAUUAGUACACUGGUGAGCACAACUCCUUAUUUCCUAGUAACAUCUAACUAGACAACCAGGCAACAGAAAAGCAACUCGCAUACCUUAGAACACUGGAUGCUUUUUAUUUUCAUGAAGAUGCUGCACUGUGGAAUAAUUCUUCAUUAAAAAACGUAUAGUGCUAUGACAGAUACAUCACAGUACUUCCAAUAGAGAAAUAUGGCAUUUUCUAACAUCCCCGUCUGCCUUGGGAUUAACCCAGUUGAGGGCAGGCAGA